rnacentral:lncRNA from 1 species
UGCAAGCAUGGUCAGUACUUUAUCUAACAAACCUUAUCUUUGAGCAUUUAAUAGCAAUGGCGACGUGUGAAAUAGCUUUACUCUUAGCAGAAAUAUGUUUUGUUGCCUUGCUAGCGUCACAACCUCAGGAGACGGAUCUGAUGCAAUUAAUCAAACAUCUACAAGCGGAAGGUAAAGAGUUCAAACGGAAAUUGGGCAUUCUUGAAGACACAAUACACCUACAAAAGGAGCAUAUUCAGAAACAAGACAGAUGCAUUUCAUUUCUUGAAAACAUUAUUGAGUCACAGACUGACAAGAUAUGAUUGCAACGUCCAAAUGGAAAACAUCAUUCAAAUGUUUAUAACAAUAAUGUGUCAAAAGAGCGAUGGAUUGAUGAAACGGAGAAAGAUAUUCAGAAAAAGCAGAAAACACCGAAUCCACCUUUCAGCAAGAUAAGUGGACAAAGACAUCUUACCGAUGAAAACGCAGAAUUUGGACAAAGAGGGCAAGUUCUGAUGUUGCGAAAGAGAGUAUAACAGAAAAUAGAAUAACCAGAAAGAACCAUCUUCCCUCCAGAACCGCAAGGAACACUCCCUCACCUGUAGCAUUUCAGGCAUACCUUUCACAUAAUGUUAGUCAUGUUGUUAAGCAUCAACUAAUCGUAUUUGACAGCGUUAUCACUACCAUCGGGGGAGGAUACCAUAGCCACCACGGACUAUUCACCGCCCCUAAGGCUGGAAUUUAUAUAUUUUCUGCAUCAA